UCUGAUUUUAUUCUGGCUAAAUGAAAAUAAAGUCACAAGCAUAGUCUGUAGGAAGAGAGGUUGAGGUUAAUCAGUUGCCACUAGUCAGAGUAGUGUAGAUGAUCAGUCAAAGCAGCCAAUUUCUAAAAUUAACUGUUAAAUCUUUUGCAGACAGUGUCCUGGUUGUCACAGGUUAGCAGACAAUGUGUCCUGGUUGUUACAGGUUAGCAGACAAUGUGUCCUGGUUGUUACAGGUUAGCAGACAGUGUGUCCUGGUUGUUACAGGUUAGCAGACAGUGUGUCCUGGUUGUUACAGGUUAGCAGACAAUGUGUCCUGGUUGUUACAGGUUAGCAGACAGUGUGUCCUGGUUGUUACAGGUUAGCAGACAGUGUGUCCUGGUUGUUACAGGUUAGCAGACAGUGUGUCCUGGUUGUUACAGGUUAGCAGACAGUGUGUCCUGGUUGUUACAGGUUAGCAGACAGUGUGUCCUGGUUGUUACAGGUUAGCAGACAGUGUGUCCUGGUUGUUACAGGUUAGCAGACAGUGUCCUGGUUGUUACAGGUUAGCAGACAGUGUCCUGGUUGUUACAGGUUAGCAGACAAUGUGUCCUGGUUGUUACAGGUUAGCAGACAAUGUGUCCUGGUUGUUACAGGUUAGCAGACAGUGUGUCCUGGUUGUUACAGGUUAGUAGACAAUGUGUCCUGGUUGUUACAGGUUACUAGACAAUGUGUCCUGGUUGUUACAGGUUACUAGACAAUGUGUCCUGGUUGUUACAGGUUAGCAGACAGUGUCCUGGUUGUUACAGGUUAGUAGACAGUGUCCUGGUUGUUACAGGUUAGUAGACAGUGUGUCCUGGUUGUUACAGGUUAGUAGACAGUGUGUCCUGGUUGUUACAGGUUACUAGACAAUGUGUCCUGGUUGUUACAGGUUAGCAGACAGUGUGUCCUGGUUGUUACAGGUUAGUAGACAGUGUGUCCUGGUUGUUACAGGUUAGUAGACAAUGUGUCCUGGUUGUUACAGGUUAGUAGACAAUGUGUCCUGGUUGUUACAGGUUAGCAGACAGUGUGUCCUGGUUGUUACAGGUUAGUAGACAGUGUGUCCUGGUUGUUACAGGUUACUAGACAAUGUGUCCUGGUUGUUACAGGUUAGUAGACAGUGUCCUGGUUGUUACAGGUUAGUAGACAGUGUGUCCUGGUUGUUACAGGUUACUAGACAAUGUGUCCUGGUUGUUACAGUUUAGCAGACAGUGUCCUGGUUGUUACAGGUUAGUAGACAAUGUGUCCUGGUUGUUAAAUCUUUAGCAGACAGUAUGUCCUGGUUGUUACAGGUUAGUAGACAGUGUCCUGGUUGUUAAAUCUUUAGCAGACAGUGUCCUGGUUGUUACAGGUUAGUAGACAGUGUCCUGGUUGUUACAGGUUAGUAGACAGUGUCCUGGUUGUUAAAUCUUUAGCAGACAGUAUGUCCUGGUUGCG